rnacentral:rRNA from 1 species
GACGUAGGGCGCGAGCGUUGUCCGGAUUUAUUGGGCGUAAAGAGCUCGUAGGCGGCUUGUUGCGUCGACUGUGAAAACCCGCAGCUUAACUGCGGGCCUGCAGUUGAUACGGGCAGGCUAGAGUUCGGUAGGGGAGACUGGAAUUCCUGGUGUAGCGGUGAAAUGCGUAGAUAUCGAGAGGAACACCUGCGGCGAAGGCGGGUUGCUGGGCUGAUACUGACGCUGAGGCGCGAAAGCCAGGGGAGCGAACGGG